UCCAGAAAUAAUGGAACCUGUAUUAUCAGCUUUAGAAGAUUUGGUUGCAAAUGUUCGUCAAAAAUGUGGAGUCGAAGAAGAAACCAGUAUUGACAAGAAUGUUGAGGGUGGUGAAAGCAAUCUAUUAUUCAAUGCACAUUCUAAGAACUCUUACGUAGUACUUGAUCCGAUGGUUGUUAGUACUAAAGGCCGAACAAGUAGAAGAUUUAAAUCUGGCAGGGAGGAGAAUAGUAAGUUAUGUCGUGGGUGUAACAAGUGGGUUAUUGGGCAUGAUAAACGAAAUUGUCCUAUAUAUAACCAACUUGAUAAUGCAUCUGAAGAAGCCAUGUAUAUAUAUUUUUCUUGUAUUUUUAUUUGAUUUCUUACAUACAUUGCAUUAUUUUAAACUAGAUUCAUUAUCUUCGCAGUUAUGGCACUAACAUUGAAAGAGGAAAGGGAAAAGCUGUUGGUAGGCCAAGAGGAAAAAAUAUAGUGUAGGGUCAUAGUAGGAUGUUAAAUCAAGAUUGAUCGGUACCAAAGGCAUGAUGUCUUAAAUGUCUACAAGCUUACGCCAUCGGCUACAUGAAUAACUUGAAAUUGUUUACUAAGAAGAUACCUAUUAUAGAUCACGGAGUUGUUGAAGCAUCCACUACUCUUAAUGUCAACUAUGUGGAUUGAUUUCAUUUUCAUGGCAAUAAUGUGCAUUUUUUUUUUCAAUUUUCAUAUUCUUAUUAUAAAAUAUUUGCAUGCAUGUUUCAAGGACAGUGAAACAUUCAACUGUUGUUGAUCGGUGUUUUAAGGUCAUUGAAAUUUUGAAUAACAUUUUGUUUUUUCUAAUAACAUACAUAGAAGUAAAUAAGUGAGAAAUAUUAAUUGACUUGGUAUGAU